GAUGAACGCUAGCGGCAGGCUUAAUACAUGCAAGUCGAGGGACAGCACAGGUAGCAAUACUGGGUGGUAACCGGCAAACGGGUGCGGAACACGUACACAACCUUCCUUUAAGUGGGGGAUAGCCCAGAGAAAUCUGGAUUAAUACCCCGUAAUAUAGUUGAAUGGCAUCAUUUGAUUAUUAUAGCUACGGCGCUUAAUGAUGGGUGUGCGGCUGAUUAGAUAGUUGGCGGGGUAACGGCCCACCAAGUCUACGAUCAGUAGCUGAUGUGAGAGCAUGAGCAGCCACACGGGCAAUGAGACACGGGCCCGAAUCCUACGGGAGGCAGCAGUAAGGAAUAUUGGUCAAUGGACGCAAGUAUGAACCAGCCAUGCCGCGUGAAGGAUUAAGGUCCUCUGGAUUGUAAACUUCUUUUAGUUGGGACGAAAAAGGGCCUUUCUAGGUCAACUGACGGUACCAGAUGAAUAAGCACCGGCUAACUCCGUGCCAGCCGCCGCAGUAACAC
rnacentral:rRNA from 1 species